CCUAGCAGGUAGAGGAGAGAAGGGAAAAAAAGCAUUUUUUGAAAUGCAAUUCACAACUUCAGAGAGGCAUUUAUGCGAGUUAGCCUUGUCAUCAAUGAAUGCACUCUGUCAGCUGGUUUAAACUUCACUGACCAAACAUUAAUAUUCAUUUGCUCAUUUAAAGUGGGAGUUAGGAAGGGGACUACUGCAACUGGAAAAUCAGCCUUCACACCAAUUGAGCCCUUGCUGAAUGCAACAGGUUCAAGAUCUAUCUUCGCUGAGAUUAAAAAUGAAAUCACCAACUAUGAUUCCUGAGAUUCAGUAAAUGUUAAAAAUUGCAUGCAAUCUAAAUUUGUUUUGUUCAAUCUACAAUAAUUUACUAGAAAAAUAAUCCAGAAUUAGUGGACAAUUCAUUUUUAAGCUGGAGAAAUUGCAGAGCAUGUGUCAUAGAUAAAAUGAAUUGCAAAUUAUAGUUCCCUGUACUAAAAUAAAGGUAAUAAUAGGGUAUCCAACUGUAUAUGUACAGCUGUUUCAGCUCUUUACACUACUCUGAAAAAGCAACUUUCCUUGACCAUAAAGAAUAUAGAAUGGGAAAGGAAAUACUGCUGCAAGAAAUCUCUCCAUAGUAAAAGCUAUUUUAAUGAAAACAUCAUCUCUCCAUUGUCCAUGAGAACAGACACCUUCUUGAGUGAAACAACAAGACAAAUAAAGACAACCUCACUUAAACACCACAGAGAACAGAAGAGCAGGAAAUAACAAAGGGGAAGACAUUUUAUGAAGCAAGUAUACAAAACUAAGCCACCAAGGGACACAAAGCUAAAUUUAACGUGAGAAACACAAAGGCUACAUUUAUUAUGGAUUCGGGACACAAUCAUUUAAAAGAAAACUUCACUGACUCGUGUUUAAGAAAAAAGAAUUUUUUUAUUUCAAAGCAUGAGGAACCCAGUGUUAUUGGGAAACAAAAAAUGCUUAAAAACCACUAAUUGUUUCAACUUAAUGUAGCUCUGUUGAUACUACAAAUUUCCUUCACUUGCACAAGCUGAAGUUUCACACUGUAAUUACUUCCAUACAGAACAGAUAUAUUUUUCUGUCAUACUUCCAUAACCAAGUAUCAGUGCAAAUUGCACAUCUCAGAUGAGCACAUGUUGUGGAAAAGAUUGACCACAUCAUUUCUGCUGAUAGACAUUCAUUUCCAGAAUCACCAGUGGUGGGUCUCUGCUUGCCAAGCCUUAUAAAUAUUACAACUUCUCCUUUCCAAUGCUAGUGUAAAGUUAUGAGUCCUCAAUGCUUAAAAAAACUCCCCAUCAGAACAGGACAUUUCACUAACUAUACUCUUUCAUGUGAAGAAGAUGAGAAAAAUAAAUGAUAUGGCAAAUAUUAACCACAUCCCUUAAUCCUAUAGGCUGUUCAAAUUACAGUUGGUAUGAAGUAAAACAGCACAGAAUAGAAAGAGUUUUAAAACACGGUAAUGCAUUUUAGAUAAUGUGACCACUUCUAGAAGAUCCUGACUGACUGCAAAUUUUCUAGCAUGGAAACCACAGGUGGCUUAGAAAAUUAUAAGUAAAAUAGGCAGGGUAUGUGUUAAGUGCUAAGAGCAAAGCUACAGUAAGGUGUGUGUUGGGGUCCACCCAAGGCUGGGGGUUCAACAUCAUCUUUCAAAGCAAAAAAAAAAAUACUCAGAGCACAUCAGUAGAACUCCUACGCUUCAAAAUACUUGAAGCUGGGCAUAAGCUUGAGGAUCAGAUAGGUGGGAUGGCAGGUGUUCAUUACUGGGUGUGAUAACAGAGAACAGGGCCUCAUAAAUGCUUAUGGUAUCUUCUUAACAUCCAUGUUCAGCCUUUGGCAAACCUCUUUCACAAUUCUUUUGCCUGAGGUGAAUAUUUUCUGACAUGGUAUCUGUUACAGCAGAUAUGUACAAGAUGAGACCAACACACUUUUAGUUAGGUAGCAGCAGAAUCCAGCUUGAUAACAAGCGGCAUUACAGGAGCAAGCACCAACCUAUCCAAGUCUGAAUCUAAAGUAUCAGAUGUUUACAAAGUAACAUUAGCUCCUUAUUUUAAUCUUUGCCAAGUAAGAGUCAGAUUAUAUGCACAUAAAAUAAGUCCCUUUACACACAGGUGUCCUUGAAGGUAUAACAAAAAAAAUGUGCUAUGUCACCCUGGAAUGGGAAAGCUGAGUGAAUGUUUCUUUUAUAGGUAACUUGCUCUCUUGAGAAAAAUGCAUCUAUGCAGUGUCUAUAAAGAUUCCAAUCUGGGAAAAAAAAUUCUUCCCAGUUUCUAAUGCAACCACUGAGAUAAAAGGUUAGAAACAAAGGAAAAGCAAACCAAACAUAAACUAUGCAGCAAUAUUCAUGAGAAUUUCCAGUUGCAGCUUGGAAAAUCUAAUUUGAACCAUGAACACUUAAGCUCUGCUCUAAAUCUAAACCCUGUGAUUUUCAUAUUAGAACCAAACUGGACAAAACAUGGCCCAAUCCUGUCUCAUGUAAAUACCAGAUUUUGGGAACUAAAGCCAAAGCCAUGUCGCAAUUCAUGCAGGGAAAAAAAUGGGUUGUUUAAGAGGAUGGGGUCUCUCAGGAUGCCACUCCAGCCACAAAGAAAAAAUAUUUAGUUUUGCUAGCAUCUGUAAAUAUUGUUGCCAAUUGUGGCUAAUAAGACAAGCUGGUUUCAUUAACCACAGGUUGCCCAAGGUUUCUAACAAGUAAUGCUAUGAGCGGAGAAUAAUUUUUCUCCUGUGCUGCAGAUGUCUUCCCCUAGCACUGCUUCCAACAAUAAGUAGUUCCCUGCUCAUCUGCAAUGAGAUGUUGCUCAGCGCACGCCACCCCAGAGUCCUCUUGACUUGGAAAAUGAGAGGAAGAGUUGGCCUGUUUGGCUGCUUUCAAAAGAGUUCUUGCUCGCACAUUAUCAUUUUGAAUAAACAAACAAUUUGCUUGUUAAGCAUUUCCCUGUGUGGUUUCCUGCACCUCAAUUUUCCUCCUCUUCUUUCCUAGCUCAGCAUACCCUCAAGUUGGGUGGUUGUUGUCAUCAGUUUCUGCUCUCACAUUCAAGACUACCUGCAGCGCAGUUACAGCUGGAAUUGCACCGUGACCGUGGGGAUAAGGUUAUGACAAUGCACAACCCAAGAUCUCAAUCAGUGAUUUGUGUUCUGAGAGAUUACAGAUUCUUAUCUUGUGGCAUUACUUGUAGUAAUCAGUCAAUUUUGACGGCUAAUCUAAAGAUCCAUAAGUAUUGUUGCUCAGAAGCUCAGCAGGUAUUGCUGAUAGCCCAACUAUUUACCUACUCUAAAAAAACACAUACCAAAGGAUGUGCUUUAUCUCCUCAUCAGUGGUUUAAAGCUAAAGGUGAACGAAGUGCAACUCACAGGCCCAGGAGUUAAACCCCAAACCAACUUCAUUUUUCAGAUGGGACACUGACCACAAUGAAAAUUAUUUAUCAAGAUGAUGCAACUGCGGGUAAACAAGGACAAAUUUUCAAUCAUGCUUUAUUUCAAGUCUAAGGGACAACUAUUGCCAUCACAUGAUGAUAAUAUGACCAGCUAACAUACCUGCCCUGGUAGCACUUCAGCCGCAAACACCAUCAACUAUAAACAGCUGAAAGUGUCACAUUGAAACUUGUUGACAAACACUGAAUUUUACAACCCAAUACCACAAAACGAUGUGAGCAAUACAUGCUGAAAUUUAUGUAGCCUGUGGUUAAAAUCUCUGGCAUUUCACCAGGCUCAGCCUUAUAUCCCGUGCCAUUUUAUCUCGCCACACUGGCACAUAUACUUACAGGUUUGCAUAAGGGGCCUUUGUGGAUAGGAACAAUGAGAGAGGUGCGCACAGAACAGGAAAAUGGGUGGUGACCACCAAGGACUGGAAAAAAAGCUUCUUUCAAAGGAAGGUCUUUGAAAACAUUCAUUACACCCCACCCAGCUAUUUUCACUACAAUAUUUCAGUACAUAAAACAACACAGGGAAAAUAAACAGACCACCCUUAAAAAUGCUGUAGGUCCCUGAAAAAAGACCAGCGAGCCAUAAUGCCACAGAUAUCUUCACCAAGCACAGUUGUGUAAGUGGUCUGCAAGCAUCCAGUGUAACCUUGGUCCAGAGACAGUCUCAAGUGCAUCCAGUUUCUCCACAUAAAGAGAGUAAAUUAGGCAUCUUUACUUUCAGAAUAAAGCCAUCAACAUUUCAGAUGGCACUGGCUGGUAAAUAAAUGACAGCAAGCAUUCAUAGGGAUCACAAAGUAAAAGUACUGCGACAACUUAAAAUCAAAAAGUUACAUAAGUGAAUGGUUUUCCACAACGCAUUCCAGUUGUGCUUUUUGUUUUGUUGUUCGCUAAUUUCACCAGUUAAAGUUAGAACUAAAAUUAAAAAAAAAUGUUUAGGGUAGAACAGCUGCAACACAGAAAAGGAGCAAUGAAACUGAUCCACAGUGAAAUGGUGCUCUGAAAUCAGCACAUAUUUAAGGGUAGAGCCCAGGCUUUCACUUGUCUCCAACUUGUCCCUCCUUGAUUAGGUUGAUAAGGUUUUGGGCUGCUCUGCAUUGAUGCAUUCCACAGUGACCUGAACCCUGAAUUCAGGCAGCAGGGUAUCUUUAAAGGAAGUUCAGCCAGAUUGAUGAUCACACUGCACUGCUUCAAGCAUACAGUCUUCUCACUGCAUGCUCAAAAGACGAUGCACAACAGCGCAAAACAAAAUGUUUUUUCUCCUUUAAAGAAUGUCCAAAGCAAUCAUCUAAAUUACUUUGCUUCACUGAUAAGAAGCCAUGUCUUGUCUUUCCAAAGCAUCAAAUCCUUUAAACACUUCUGCUAAUAAAGCUAAGAAAACAGCUCUUGUAAUAAAAUCUUUAUGAAAUUA